GGCUGGGAGUGCGGGACGUGCAGACCUGGAGAAUCUAGGGCUUGCUCAGGGUAGGGCCUCGUGAGUGCCGCGACUACUUGUCCCAGAAAUCCCCGCGCGCAAGGUCUCCUUCCGGCUGGUCGUUCCUGACUUCCUGGCAGCCUGGGGCUGCCCGGACCCGGACGGAAACUCGAAAGCAACUCUUCACUUAGGUCUGAGAUCUUUGCGGUGCGACCGAUUUCCGCACAUGCGCCCUAGGUGUCUGCAGUGCCGCUCGCGUAGGUGGCUGCGCCGCCGCUUCGUGUGUGUUGCAUUUGGUAGGGACAGGUGGGCCCAAGGUGCACUAGGAAGUGUGGGAGAGGGACCGAGAGCCCGAGGACGCAGCCAAGGGAAGAUGGACAUCUCUAGAGGAAGUGUUUGGAGACUGAGUGGGGAAAUAGGUGUAUGAAGAUCUGCUACACUGACUGGGAGGUUCUGAGCCAUGAGAAGGAAGCUGUUCGUUCUGAAAACAUUUAUUUUUAAACAUUCAGUUUCUACUGAGUACUGCCCUAAGCACUGGGAAUCAACUCCGAACGUAACAGGAGAGACCCCUGUUCUCAGGAAGCUUAAUUCUAAUGGAAAAACAGCAGACAUUAACCGAGAGUUAGAGAUGCUAUGAAAGAACACAACUGGAGACUUCCAGGGAACUCUGCCUCUAACUCUGUGAUCUUCUUCUCCAAGUCUGUCAGUACCCUGGAACCAAAAUCCUCCAGGAACACGCUGAUAGUUGAACAAGUUGCAGGGGAGUCAGAUGCAACCUAGUGAGUGGGAGGAAGAAGUACGGACGAUGACGUGGACUGUUAUCCCGAUGGGCCGGCCGGGCACACUGUGGUAACCAGCAGCCGAGAGACCUCCACAGCUUGAAGCCUGUCCUUUGACCAGACCCCGUGUUCUUGCUCUCAGGGGGCCUAUGCUCUGAGAGGGCAGGAGGAGUUGAACUUGGGAGAGCUACUGUCUCAUCCUUCACUGGCUUGGAACACAGCCUCUUCCGAGGUUGCUCACUGGAAACGGGGCGGGGGUGAAGGGGGGACCACAUGUUUGCUGUGCUGUGUGCUUCCACAAGGUGGGACAGUCACAUGCCAUCGGGCAGACUGACACUUUGCUCUGUCCAGUGACUAGAGGGGGAUUCAAGUGGUAUGUUUAGUUGAAUAUUGACCAUCCAUGCUUUCCUUAAAAAAAAAAAAAAAAAAUCAACACAGCGAUAGAACUCAGGGUCCCACACACACUAGGACAGCAUUUCUCACACUGAUCUUUCUCACACAUAAUAGGACAGCAUCCUGUUGGUGAGCUAUGUUCCCAGUCUGCUUUCCUUUCACACUACAGGUUUCUAAGUAUAGUACAAGUUUGAACUGAGUGUGAAAAGUUUCGAAUACACAGGUAAAAUCUGGCAACUGGAAUUGACUACCAUCACUAUCACAGUUUCAUGACGCUUGGCUCUUUUAACAUCUUUUGGGUUCAGUUAUCCGCUGAAAAUUUCAAAUCAUCUUGUGUUUCCUCAAGCCCAGUGAGUUUGUGGGAAUCAGGCCACUCCAGUAUCGAGGCCCCUAUUGGUCCGCUUCUUUCCCAUUCCUCCCACACUUCUAUCCCUUCCCCUUAUUCUCCCCAUCUCCUCUCCCCUUCUCCUAUUCUUUCUUCCCCCAGCCUGACCAGUUCUGAUUCCUCUGCGGUCUGAGUCCAAGGGAAGUGGCUUCACCUGGACCCCUUCACUGUGCACUUGGGAGGUUCUGGGCUCAUUGCCUCAUGCUUGUAGCCCUGGAGACCUGUCAAAAGCCCAGCUCUGCAUUUCUGUUGCUUCUUCUAGGCCUGGGAACCCAUGAAGGGUGAACCACCCAACCCCUUCCUGAGGCCCCCAUCCCUGCUUGAAUCCUGGCCAGGCAGCCCUUCAUUACUGUGUGGUCUCACAUGCCUUCAAGUAGAAUUGCUUAUUUUACCCAGCUUUACUUUAUUCUUUUCCAAGGUUAAUUUUAUCAUUUAUGUAUGUAUAUGUGUGUAUAGGCAUGUGCACAUGUGUGCAAGUGCCCACAGAGGCCAGUAGAGGGCAUUGGAUCCCUUGGAGCUGGAGCUACAAGCAGUUAUAAGCUGCUUGAUGUGGGUGCUGGGAAUCAAACCCAGGUCCUCUGCAAGAGCAGCAAGUGCUUUUAGCCCCUGAGCCCCUUGCCCAGACUCUCUAAUUGUCCUCAGUGCUAGUGCUGGUCUGGAUGACCUUAUCUACCAUCACUGGGCACAGAAGUUCUGUCUUGAUGGUUACUAGAUGGACAUCUUGUUAACCAGAUCUAAUGGACCCCUCGGGUACCACAGAGCUGAGGUGUGGUGUCUCUGCAGCCAGCAUUUGAGGCUCUGCUGAAAAGUCUAAUUGCCUUGAGACCCUGCAAUCUUUCUUUCCUUCUAAAAUCUCAAAGCUCUGUGGGCCGGUGCUCUCAAUAGUCCCCCAGUCCUUCUUGGCCUAUUCUUUGCCGCUCUUCUUGCAACUCUUGGGGUAAGGCUGUCUUGGCCUGACAUUCUUGUUUGGCCCAAACUCUCUUUCUCGCUUAGCCUCAUGCUUUUAAGCCAUUUACUCCAGCCAGCCUUAGUGCUUGUCAUUCUGGAAUAUACUGGUUUAUCCUCCAAGACUGUGCCUCUUCUAGGGGAUGUCCCCUGAUUCUCCAGGGCAGCAUCAGUCUGAACCAAUGCUCUGUUUUCCAGUCCCGUCUCCCUGAGGGUGAGCAUGCUGAAGACAGUGUCCAGGCAUUGCUCAUGCCGUAUCUCCGGCACUGGGUGCGUUAAGAGGGGUCAAUUAACGUAGGAUGAUCUCAUUUCCCCAGGCCUCCACAUCUCUUAAUGCACUGGAGGGUUUUGUCAGUCACCUGAAUUCUUGGAACCUCACUUUUCUAGCCUUUAAUGGUUAGCAUGCCAGGUGCCUACUUAUUUGCACCACCCCCCAGACAGAAGCAAUUGAUGAUGUGUCCAUAUCAACAGCAGUCGAGAGGCCUGUGCAGCACCAUGGCCAAGGCCUGCCCUCUGCUGGUCACAAGAUUUCCAGGGCAGCAGCGGCUCAGUACUAAGCAGAAGUGGACUCUUCAUUCUUUUGUACCUUGUGAAGUCCUUUGGUAUUCCACAACAAAUAUGAAGUCCUUUUCAAAGCAAUAUUUUAAAAUAUGCAAUAAUGAGGUAUAUCGAUUAUAAAUAAAAUCAAUCAUAAUGAAAAACAGGUAUCAAGGAUUUGGAAAAACUGUAGCUACAGUUUGUAAAUGAUGGGAGUAACAUGACAGAUGCAUGUACACUGUAAAUUGGAUCUAGCAGUACAGGCCUUGUCACUACAAUGUAAAAAUGAGGACGAGGGUGUAUGGUGGAAUGCCCAUGACUCCUGCCUUUAAUCCCAGCACUAGGGAGGCAGAGGCAGGCAGAUUUCUGAGUUCAGCCUGGUCUACAGAGCGAGUUUCAGGACAGCCAGGGCUGUUACACAGAGAAACUCUGUCUCAAAAAACAAAACAACAAUGCUGUGGGAAGAUCUUUCUGUAGCCUGUGAAUAUGUAUUGCUCUCACUGGUUGGUAAUAAAGCUGUUUUGGCCUAUGGUAAAGCAGGAUAAGGUUAGGCAGAAGAAUCAAACUAAGGACUCAGAGGAAGAGGGGCAGAGUCAGGAGAGACACAAGGAGAGGCUGGAGAGGCAAGAUGCCAGAGAACCUGUAAGCCAUGGACCACAUGGCAAUAAACAGAUUAGUAGAAAUGGAUUAAUUUAAAUGUAAGAGUAGUUAAUAAUAAGCCUGAGCUAUUGGACAAACAUUUAUAUUUAAUAUAAGCCUCUGUGUGGUAAUUUGGGAAGCGGCUGCUGGGUAUUUGGAAACAGGUAGAACAGAAACUCCACUCCAUUUACACAACAACAACAACAACAACAGAAUGUUGGCUUGUCAGAGAGAAUGCUUCUUUCCUCUCUCAACUUAAAGAAGAAACUGCAGAGUGUGACCUUCUGCCUGAUGGAGGGGGCUCUUAACACUUAGAGAAUAAACCCUUCCUUGCUAGGCAAACAUGGGCAGCACGCCUGCUUUCCCACGCCAACCAGAAAGAAGGACAGUGCGUGCAAAUUACCUUGUUAUUUUAUUAGAAGCAUAUUUACAUUUUUUGUUUGCAGAGAACAGCUUACAAAACUUCUACAUGACAGUUGGAAAUGACGUACACGUUACAUCUAUCCUUCAUGAAGGGAAAUAUAAGUUAGUUCUAUUUACUCAGAUAAAAACAUUUCUGCCUGUCCCUAUACAGAAAAGAUUAGCACAGGACACGAGGAAUACUGUGUAGGCCAUGUCUGCAGCAGGCAUUGCACAUAUGCUAAAUGAUGAGGUUGGAAGACUAGGCUAGACCCCGCUCAAAAAGGCACAGUAGAGCUACCAGGGCUCAGGUGGCACUAAUUGUGGAUGCAACAAUCGGACAAAGGACAAGGACAGUGUGAAUGAUAAGUCGGGGAGUGAUCAAAGACUUUACCCGAACCACAAAACUGGCAUUUUGCCUGAUGGCCACCGUCCCCUAGAUGCAAAACAAGCAGGCUGUAAACAAUGACAAGCGGCCCCGCCCACUUGCCGUCUCUGGGUCCUGCAGGUGCACUCUGCCAGUUCAUGUUUCUCAGCCACUGUGCACCAGAGAGGACAACGUCAACUGUUCCUCACCACCCCUCGGUUCGAGACCUGAAGGCAAGCUGACGCUCACUCCCCUGAGAACUAUCACCCUCCUGGACUCUGUGAGCUUCUUUACGGCACACGCGAUCUGGGAGCCCUGAGACCUGUCUUCCUAUUUUUCUAGCCCAAUCCCUCCAUAGCACCCGGUUAUCAUCUGGGGAAACUUUCCAGGGAAUUGCCUCGGCACUGGGCAGCUGAUGGAGACAUCCUGCUGAGGUCUCAGCCGCCGACCAGACUCAAAUGUCUGAGUCUUCAGCAGCAGCAGCAGCAGCAUCACUGGGAACUGGCAUCUUCCUGAGGCAGCCCGCCAUUGACGGACAUCUCAUUAUACAUAUGCAAAUAUUCCAAACUUGGAGAAGGAUCUGAAACCCCAAACCACGCAUCGGCUGAAGCGCUGAGGGACCGAAGCCUGCAACUCAAGCCCUGCCUGCCUUCUACCCACCAACAAGCAUUCUUCGGCAAAGCCUUCGAAGGCCACAGGCAGCAGCCUGUCUCCUGCUGUGUGCCAGGAGAGAAAUGACAUUUCCUCAUCCCUGGCAAGGAACGAGGCUGAGGCUCUCCCCAUCUCCACAGCAUGCUCUGAGGGGGUGGAGCACAGUUCAAGUAGGCCAGGCUGGCUUUGAACCUAGAGAGAGCCAAGCCCUGAGGUGUUGGGGUGGGCAAUGGAGCUGCCUGCACCGUCCGUGGCCCCCAAAGUUUCCUUGAUUCCUGUCCCUUAAGCAGGGUGCCCAGAAGGUCUCAGGCCCUCCCUGUGGCUGCAGCAGCCCCUCCUGGGUGCCGUCAUCAAGCUGUCCCGCAUCCCGCUCCAG